rnacentral:rRNA from 1 species
GACGAACGCUGGCGGCGUGCUUAACACAUGCAAGUCGAACGGAAAGGCACUGCUUUCGUGGGGUGAUGGAGUGGCGAACGGGUGAGUAACACGUGAGUAACCUGCUCUUGACUUUGGGAUAAGUUCAGGAAACGGGAGUUAAUACCGGAUAGGAGCCCACGCUGCAUGGUAGGGGUUGGAACGUUUCGGCGGUUGGGGAUGGACUGGCGGCUUAUCAGCUUGCUGGUGGGGUAGUGGAUUACCAAGGCAUUGACGGGUAGCCGGCCUGGGAGGGUGACCGGCCACAUGGGUACUGAGGUAGGGCCCAGCCUCCAACAUUAGGCAACGGUGGGGAAUAUGAUACAGUGGGAGGAAGCCUGAUGCGGCAACGCCGCGUUCGGAAAGACGUCCUGUGGGUAGUGAACCGCUUUCGCCUGUUACGAAGCGUUAGUGACGGUAAUGGGUGAAUAAGCACCGGCUAACUACGUG